rnacentral:lncRNA from 1 species
CUGCCGUUCCCAUCUGCUGUCUCGCCCUCUCGCCGUCAACCGUCUAGGGCUCUAUAUGUCGCUCUCCAGUCAGGUAGGUAAGCCCUCAAACCUAAAACUACAAACUGUUAUUUCUUUAUAUGAGACAUGGGCACGUUGAUUUCUUUACAGAGCUUCAUGUUGCUCAGCAAGAACCACAAAAUGGAUUUUCUUCAGUUGACAAAAGGGAUAAGAACGAUUUCACAUAAAGUAAAAUGGCAGCUGAAUGAUUUCUAAAGGUGACUGUCCCAGCAUCUAAUCUUCUUUUGUAUCAGUUAUGUAGAGGGGAAGAAAGAAUUGGAUCCAUUAAAUGUAGUAGUGAAUAAAUUCCUGAGAAUCUAACAAAUCAGAGAAAGCAUGUUUCUGUGUUUGCAGUGAUAAAAAGAUGCGAGAGCUUAUGCAUACAAUGCAAAACCAUCUGAGAUGUCCUUUGUCUAAGCAUGCAAAGAAGGCAUUACACAGCUUCCUGCUUUAGCACCUUCAUGUGGUUUAAUUCGCAAAAUUUACUGGAGAUUCAAAGAGCAGUUGUCUGCCUAAAUUGAUAUUCAACUAAAAGUCAAUAUUGUUUUCAUUAAAAUAAAUGUUAAAGAAAAAAAGAAGGUAAAUUUACUUUUCGACCAUCUGUGAAUCUACAUUAUUAACAUAACAUCUGUGAAUCUCCAUUAUUAACAUAUUCUAGAAUAAAUUAAUACAUCAAACAUAUUACUUGAUAAAAUAUAAUGAUAAAGUAAUUAUUUUGCUGCCAUAUCAAUAUGUUUAUAUUUAUUUGAUUAGAGUUAUACUUAUAAUUAUUAUUAACAUUCCUUUUUAUUGUUAUUUAUUUAUUAUUGUCGUGUUACAAAAUAAAUAUUUAUUUACAGAAUUUUAAAAUUUAUAUACACUAAUUAUGAGCAUGGAAGUUACAUUGCGCAAAACAAUCUCAUUUUCAGGUAUUUUCUAUAGCAUGAGCGCACAAGCUUCUAAGUAUUGUGAAUACAUUAAGCUUAUAUAAUGGUAUUAUAUAAAAGAGAUGAGACAGUUAGUUGCAAGUAAAAGAGAUGUAUGUUUGAGAGAAAGAAGGGCAGUUUGAUCAGUUGCAAGGCUCAGAGGUUGUUUGGCUUUGGCUUCAAAAGAAAGCAUUUGGAAGGUUAUGGUGAUUAGGAAUGCAUACUGCAAAAUGCAAUAAAGCUUUAUCUCCAUGGCUGCAAAUUGUGAUUGUAUUAUGAUAAUGAAGUCGCUAAUAACUGCAUCCAAUAAUCAUCAUAUAUAUAUAUAUAUACACAAAUAUUACAAGAAUCUUACACAAAAAAUGUGACAAAAAAUUUGGGAGACCAAAAAUAGUAAAACAAAAUAAAUACCAUCUUUCUUUCUUUCUUUUUUUUCUUCAUUUUUUUGUUUGGUAAAUGAGAUGUUACAGUUUGUUCAUUCAGAUGCUGAUAGCUCAGAUCAUGGCUAUCAUCUCUACUAGAUUUUGACACACAAAUUUGCUUGAUUUAGAUUGUGUAUAUAACACCAAGGAAGUAGUGUUGGUUAAAGGCCUAAUGUCUAGAUGUGUAGAUACAGUUUUUUUGCCAACAAUUUGAAAUAAAAUCAGCAAUGAAAACUAGCAAAUCUGGUUUCUUGAAGGAUGAAUUCAGACAUCUUGCUUAAGUUGUGUAACUUACUUCUAAUUUCUAAAGAUCAAUUCAGAUUGAUUAUUUUAUUUUUAGUGUACACAAUUUGGUUUUCAACUUUCAAAUAACAGUAAUUUUAUAAUGAAAGUUGAAUAUAUAAUUACUAAGGGACAUAAAACUGCAUAUAUUAUAUAGUAGUUCAAACAUAAAUUAAAUGAGAAUUAACAAACAUACCAGAAUCCUACACAAAAAAUGUGACAAAAAAUUUGGGACACCAAACAUAGUAAUUCAAAAUACCAUCUUUCUUUCUAAUUCUGAUGUUGAUGGCUCAGAUCUUGGCUAUCAUCUCUACUAGAUUUUGACACACAAAUUUGCUUGAUUUAGAUUGUGUGUACAACACCAAGGAAGUAGUGUUGGUUGAAGGCCUAAUGUCUAAAUGUGUAGAUACAGUUUCUUUUGCCAACAAUUUGAAAUAGAAUCAACAAUGGAAACUAGCAAAUCUUGUUUCUUGAAGGAUGCAUUCAGACAUCCGGCUUAGGUUGCGCGGCGUUCGAGCUCGUUUCUUGGCCGGAAAACCACUGAAUGGUUCUUCUAGCUAUGGGUAGCCACAGCCUUCUAACCUUUUCAUCCUUGUCUGAGUUGAGUGAAGUUGAGAAUCCACUGAUCCUGCUGUUGCUCGAGUUCGUAUCCGUGAAUCUUGACACGUUUGUGAUCUCAGACAUCGAUCUUUUCUGUGCCGGAUCAGCCGAUCUAGACAGCAUGCUUGAAGUUUCAGCAGCAGCAAUCUUGGACUUAAACAGCCUCUUCCUCUCCAAAUCCUCCUUGAUCUUCAAGAUUUGCUCUCUUGCUGCAGCCUCGUCGUUGAACCUCCCGCUCGUGGUGGGGAGGUUCAGCAACGAGGCGUUGAGGGACAUGAGAUCCGAGGAGUUGACAUCGCUCCACCUGCUGUUGUGUAUGACAUCUGAUACAAUGAUCCUGUGCUUCACAUUGUGGAGAAUCCGUGCCCCGUUGCUGUGGUUCUUAAAAUUGAGAUUGAGGUGAAUUUGCUGGGAUACUAACUGCUGUGAGUAGUAAUCUUGAUGAAUCUUUGAUCAUUUUUGAGGUUAUGGGAUGUCUCGAACUUGAAUCUUUAUGUUGUUUUUAGAUGGUUAAAUAUUAGUAAUAAAAUUGGGAUCGAGGUGAAAUGGUUGAGUGAAAACUAACUGAUGUGAGUAAUCUUGGAAUCUUUAUCAUUAUUUUGUGGUUAUGGGUGCUUCUCAAACUUGAAUCUUUUUGUUGUUUUUAGAUAGUUAUAUUAUACAUCUGCUUAAAAUUGGGAUAGAGGUGAGUUGCUUGAUUAAAACUAAUUGCUGUCAGUAAAUCUUGAUUGAAUCUUGUAUCAUUUGAGGUUAUGGGAUGUCUCAAAAUUGAAUCGUUUCUCAUUUCAGAUGGUUGAUUAUACCUGCUCAAAAUUGGGAUUGAGGUGAAUUGCUUGAAUGGAAAGGGAUACACAGCUCUAGAUGUGGUUGAAUCCGAUGCAAGCAACUCAGGUGCUCUGCUCAUUGUGCCUGCAUUGCUCGAAGCAGGAGCCAAGAGGUGCGACCAGCUCUCUCCUGGCCUAGCAGACAUCCCACAUUUAGCCGAGCCGGGUUCCAGAAGGUUCGGUGAGGCUAGCCGUAUGCGGUCUCCGCUGCCGCCGUGGCCCAACGCCGGCCGAACCCCCCGCCACCGCGGCUGCAAGAACCGCCACCGGGCCAGCAAGCUCGAGCUGCAGAACGAGGGGCUGAGGAACGCGAGGAAGACCGUGACCAUCGUUGCCGUGCUGAUUGCAACGGUGACGUUUGCAGCCGGGAUCAACCCGCCCGGCGGGUUCAGCCAGGAGACCGGCAAGGCCCUGAGGGGGGACCGGGCCGCGUUCAAGGCGUUCAUGGUGUGCAACAUCGCCGCGCUGUUCCUGUCCGUCGGGGUCGUGAACGUGCUCGUGAGCAUCAUCCCGAUCACGAGGCGGACGAUGAUGAGGCUCAUGAGCGCGACGCACAAGGUGAUGUGGCUGUCGACGCUGUUCAUGACCGCGGCCUACAUAGCCGCCGUGUGGACCAUCAUGCCCGAGGACCGGGGGGCGCGCUGGGUGUCCGUGGAGCUCGUGGUGUUCGGGGGCGGGUGCUCGGCCGUGGUCUUCUCCGGGCUCGCGUGGCUGCUGGUGAGGCAUUGGCGCAACAAGUAUCUGUGGAGGAAGGCCAAGAUCAAGAGGAUCAAGGAGGAGAGCCCCCACAGCAGUGUUAGCCGUGUUGAUGAGCUGAAGAUCAUGAGGAGGAGCCAUGAUAAUAGUAGUACUAAUUCGGAUGUUGAUAGCUCGGAUCAUGGAUAUCACCUCUACUAGAUUUUGACACACAAAUUUGCUUGAUUUAGAUUGAGAUAACACGAAGAAAGUAGCGUUGGUUGUAAAUGAACAGAUCUACUCACUAGUUAUUUGAGACCCGGCUCGAAAAAAGGCACGUUCGGAGCUCGAUUCGAUAGUAAACGAGCCGAGCUCGAGUCUGACAACACUCGGCUGGUUGAGCUCGCGAACUAGUUCGGGUUUGAUUGUUCGCCGAUAUGCUCGCGAGCCUGUUCACGUAUCGUUAGUGCACGAACCUUAAACUCGUCGAGCUCGAGCUCAAGUAACAUAUUAGUUAAGAAGCUUUUCCUAAAUUUUUAAUGAGUUCGAGCUCGAACAUCAUAUAUAUGAUCAUGUAACAAGUUGAGCUCAAGCUCAAGCUCGAAUUCGACAUUAUCGAGUAUCACAUGAGCCGAGCUCGAGCUCGAUCAACAAGAUAUUCGCUCGAUCAACAAGAUAAAAGCUCAAAUUGAACUCGAACCUAACUCGAACACUCAAAUAUUUAAAUCAGACGAGCUCGAACUUGCUAGUAUACGUACGGCUCGACUCGGCUCAUUUACACUAUUGGUUGUGCCAACAAUUUGAAAUAAAAUCAAGAAUGAAAACUAGCAAAUCUGGUUUCUUGAAGGAUGAAUUCAGACAUCUAGCUUAGGUUGUGUAGCAUUUAGUUCUAACGAUCAAUUCAGAUUGAUUAUUUUAUUUUAUUUUUAGUGUACACAAUUUGGUGUUCAACUUUCAAAUAACAGUAAUUAUACUCCCUCCGUCCCAUAAGCUUAGGCUGAUUGGGAUUUUCACAAAGAUUAAGAAAAAUCAUUGGAAAUGAAAAUAUAUGAGUAAAUUUCCUAAUAUGCCCAUAUUUCUUAUUUAAUGAUGUAUUAAAGUGGGAGUAAAUUGAAGAAUUAAAUAGGGAUAUAAUAGUAAAUGAGUAAAAAAAUAUUACUUUUUAUGGAAACAAGCCUAUAUAAAUGGGACAUUCAAAAAAGGAAAACAAGCCUAAGCUUAUGGGACGGAGGGAGUAUAAUGAAAGUUGAAUAUAUAAUUACUAAGGAACAUAGAACUGCAUAUAUACUAAUGAAAGUGGAAUAUUAUUUUUAGUGUGUACACAAUGUGUAGACACAGUUUUUUUUGCCAACAAUUUGAAAUAUAAUCAGCAAUGGAAACUAGCAUCUUGUUUGUUGAAGGAUGCAUUCAGACAUCCGGCUUAGGUUGCGCGGCGUUCGAGCUCGUUUCUUGGCCGGAAAACCACUGAAUGGUUCUUCUAGCUAUAGAUAGCCACAGCCUUCUAACCUUU